rnacentral:rRNA from 1 species
UACGGAGGGUGCGAGCGUUGUCCGGAAUCACUGGGCGUAAAGGGCGCGUAGGUGGCUCGUUAAGUGGCUGGUGAAAUCCCGGGGCUCAACUCCGGGGCUGCCGGUCAGACUGGCGGGCUAGAGCACGGUAGGGGCAGAUGGAAUUCCCGGUGUAGCGGUGGAAUGCGUAUAGAUUGGGAAGAAUACCAGUGGCGAAGGCGUUCUGCUGGGCCGUUGCUGACACUGAGGCGCGACAGCGUGGGGAGCAAACAGG